UAAGAGGUCCCGCCUGCCCUGUGACUAUAUGUUUAACGGCCGCGGUAUUUUGACCGUGCGAAGGUAGCGCAAUCACUUGUCUUUUAAAUGGAGACCUGUAUGAAUGGCACCACGAGGGCUUGACUGUCUCCCCCCCCCGACCAAUGAAAUUGAUCCCCCCGUGCAGAAGCGGGGAUAAAUACAUAAGACGAGAAGACCCUAUGGAGCUUAAGACACCAAAGCAGCCCAUGUUCAUCACCCCCCUAUAAAGGACUAAACUUAGUGGCCCCUGUCUCGAUGUCUUUGGUUGGGGCGACCACGGAGAAACAAAUAACCUUCGUGCGGAAUGGGAGUUUAACUCUUAAAAACUAGAGCGCCCGCUCUAAUUAACAGAAUUUUUGACCAGACAGAUCCGGCACUGCCGGUCAACGGACCCAGUUACCCUAGGGAUAACAGCGCAAUCCUYUUUUAGAGCCCAUAUUGACAAGGGGGUUUUCGACCUCGAUGUUGGAUCAGGGCCUCCUAAUGGCGCAGCCGCUAUUAAGGGUUCGUUUGUUCAACG
rnacentral:rRNA from 1 species